CUAGAAACGAGAAUAGGAGGUUUGAGUAACAGUCUGAUCUUAUAUGGAGGGAAAAACUAUUCUUCUUUGCCUUAUGGUGCUUGUGCAGCUAGGAAAUUCCAUUCAUGUUGAGCAAUGCAGGACAGAAAUUGCCUCUUCAGGCACCACAUGCAUAGAACUAUCUUGCCGUUUUGCCUGCGAGAAUACCUUCGGAAAUCAUGCCAUCGGAUCAGCGUGUAGGGCCAUUAGCCUAACCACGCUGAAUUGUUACUGCAAGGUCUGUGACUAGAGUUUCACUAAACCAUUGUACGAAUCAAAUAAUGGAUAAUGAUGUGAUCUAGCAAUAAAAUCCUCUUGUGACAUGAAGGUCAGAAUGUAUAUUGAUCACCAAUUUUGAGUGUUAUGUAUUACUCCCCGUUUAAAUAAAUGACUCAACUUUGUUCUAA